ensembl:snoRNA
AAGUCAUUUCACUAAAGGUUUGUUAUUCUAUGAAACCAAGAGUUCUUAAGUCUACGACCGAAAUUUGAAGGUGUCUAUAAAAGGGCUAGUCACUCAGUGGAACUAUGCUUUUUCUGAGGACAUUUCAGA